rfam:Bosea sp. Leaf344 contig_2, whole genome shotgun sequence.
CAGCCGGUCCGGGCCCCUCUGGCGACCCAUGGUCGUGAUGUCGGACCAAUCGC